rnacentral:rRNA from 1 species
UACAGAGGUCCCAAGCGUUGUUCGGAUUCAUUGGGCGUAAAGGGUGCGUAGGCGGCGCGGUAAGUUGGGUGUGAAAUCUCGGAGCUUAACUCCGAAACUGCAUUCGAUACUGCCGUGCUUGAGGACUGGAGAGGAGACUGGAAUUUACGGUGUAGCGGUGAAAUGCGUAGAUAUCGUAAGGAAGACCAGUGGCGAAGGUGGGUCUCUGGACAGUUCCUGACGCUGAGGCACGAAGGCCAGGGGAGCAAACGGG